AUUGAACGCUGGCGGCAGGCUUAACACAUGCAAGUCGAGCGAGGGGCGGACGGGUGUGUAAUGCCUGGGAAUCUGCCUGAGGGAGGGGGAUAACUACUGGAAACAGUAGCUAAUACAGCAUACCAUCAGAUGUGCCCUGAGGGGAGUAGCUAGUAGGUGGGGUAAAGGCUCCCCUAGGCGACGCCCCCUAGCUGGUCUGAGAGGAUGACCAGCCCCACUGGGACUGAGACACGGCCCAGACUCCUACGGGAGGCAGCAGUGGGGAAUAUUGCACAAUGGGCGCAAGCCUGAUGCAGCCAUGCCGCGUGUGUGAAGAAGGCCUUCGGGUUGUAAAGCACUUUCAGCGAGGAGGCGUUACUCGCAGAAGAAGCACCGGCUAACUCCGUGCCAGCAGCCGCGGUAAUUC
rnacentral:rRNA from 1 species